GUUUAUCACUGGGAGGAUGCGGGCCAAGUGAAGGUGCUGAUGGAGAAGUUAGAAAUCAUGAUAAAGCUUGGUUCUGCUGGAAUUCAAGGAGUAUGCUAUAUAAGUAGAUGUCAAUUUUGUUGGAAAGGCAGUCCGUGCUAUUGGUCGCUGUGCAAUCAAGUUGGAGAGAGCAGCAGAGUGAUGCAUCAGUGUUUUGCUGGAGCUGAUUAAGAUUAAAGUCAAUUUUGUGGUUCAAGAAGCCAUUAUAGUUAUUAAAGACAUUCGGAAGAUAUCCUAACACGCUGAGAAGAUUGAAGAGAAGAGGAAGCUUGAAGAGGAAGACUUAGCUAGAUUGACUAAAGAGAAGGAAAGCCAUGACUUAGAAUU